AACCCACAUUCUAACUUUGGCACAGAGUGCAAGACAACGUUUUAAACUCUACCGUUUACGGAUUAACAAACUACAACUGCCGAUUAGUGAUAUUAUUUCUGGAGCAGAUAUGAUUUGAUCAUAUCAUUUUUCAUAAUUUAGUUCGGUCAAAUUUAUAACAGCAUUUUAUUAUGUUACUUUGCAAUAUUGAAGUUCUUUCUUAAAACUAGCAUUAAAUGCUUUCUUUAUGUACAUUUAUUUCAUGUUUAUUAAUCUAAGACAAGACUGACUCGGGGUAUAUCUUUUCCUCGGUCCCUCUUUGGAGAGAGAAACCCUUUUCAUUACUUUCCACGGCGCGCUUCAUCAGGUUACACCACACUAGUGGAUCUACGUGCCGAGACGCAGUCUCACCGGAGAAGGGAGCGGAGGACAACUCCACUGCUCUGGCUCCACUUCUCCUUCCAGCAUCCUCUUUGUUAGCAGGAAGAAUCCUUCUCGCUGGGUAUCCAACAGACCACGACAUGAAACUGUGCGUAAUCACGUUGAUGGCCGCAGCGCUCCAACUGCAGCUCUCACCUGCCCAGAGCCUGCCCUCAUCUAGUCUAAACAGCACAUCUGAAGUCGUCCUGAACUUCCAAGAGGUGUGGCAUCGGAGCUUCUGCCGGACCAUCGAGAAGCUGGUGGAGGUGGUGCAGGAGUACCCCGGGGAGGUGGAGCACAUCUACAGCCCGUCCUGCGUGCCCCUGGUGCGCUGCGCCGGCUGCUGCGGGGACGACAACAUGGAGUGCCAUCCCACCAACACCUCCAACGUCACCAUGCUGCUGUUGAAAAUCAAGCCAGCGGCGCAAGGUCAAGAAUAUGUUGAGAUGACGUUUGUGGAGCACCAGACAUGUGAAUAAAACGAGAACCCACCAUGAGGGUUGAAAGGUAAGUGGAUGUUCAUAUUCUCAGAUGUGACAUGUUUUUUUUAUAGCAUCUCUGCUCUGGAGGUUUAUAUUAUGUUAUUUUCUACAGAAGGAGGCAGAGAGGGAGAGGAAAGAAGAGAAAGGAAAGACAAAGAGGGAAAGACUGUGACAGGUGCCAGGUCCCUCGUAGGUAACUAGUGGCAUAACUUCACCACCCCCCCCACCCCCCCCUCCAACCCUCUCGCAAAAUGGCUCACUAUUUAUUUCCCAACCCAAUGGCUGUGUCGAUCUUCACUGUCUGCGACUGCACUCAAGAGACUCAAAGACUGGGUUGUUGUGGCGACAGGCCCUUCUGCGGAUGGGGAGAGCUUUUUAAAUCAAGGUUAAACCGGAAGUGCCUUUUGAUUUGUGAAAACGAUUCUGUUACACACCUGACACGACGGACAUCCCUGGGAGCCAGUGCAAUAGGACCAAACAGACAGAGAAUAAUACUGUGUUGUUUUUUACUCCUUCUUUAUACUGGUUAUUAACAACUAUAUGUAUCAUUUAUGUAUUUAAAGAUUUUACCAUUGUUUAAAAUGUUUAUUUAUUGAUACAGCUAAAAUAUUCUUUGGAAUAACAGUCAAGAUUUGAAGCAACGCCUUCCGUCGAACUGUAUCGUCAUCACGGCCAAUGAGGACCAUCCCAUCGCGUGUCUCUUCAUUUUUCUGGAAUGCACUAAAAUGGAAUGUCUCCCUCUAGCGGUGUGAUUUAAAACAGCGCAUUACUUCCAUUAUUUCCCUAUGACACUGCUUUCACGGUCUAUGAGAAAGCUGUUCGUCAAAUGUUUUUUAAAACCACUGGAUUUAAACCAAUUUCUACUUGCAAUCAUGUGUACAUUGUGAAAAUAAGUAACCCAAAAACAUUUAUGUGUUGAAGAUUCAUCCAAAGAAGUUUGAGUGCAUAAAUAAAUGUGAGCAGUGCAUUAAAGAAAUGGCCUCUAGUUGUUUAAA